GUAAGGAAUAUUGGUCAAUGGACGAAAGUCUGAACCAGCCAUGCCGCGUGGAGGAUGAAGGUCCUCUGGAUUGUAAACUUCUUUUAUAUGGGACGAAAAUGGGGCUUUCUAGCUCAACUGACGGUACCAUAUGAAUAAGCACCGGCUAACUCCGUGCCAGCAGCCGCGGUAAUACGGAGGGUGCAAGCGUUAUCCGGAUUCACUGGGUUUAAAGGGUGCGUAGGUGGAUUGGUAAGUCAGAGGUGAAAUCUCCGGACUCAACUCGGAAACUGCCUUUGAUACUAUCAAUCUUGAAUAUUGUGGAGGUUAGCGGAAUAUGUCAUGUAGCGGUGAAAUGCUUAGAUAUGACAUAGAACACCAAUUGCGAAGGCAGCUGGCUACACAUAUAUUGACACUGAGGCACGAAAGCGUGGGGAUCAAACAGGAUUAGAUACCCUGGUAGUCC
rnacentral:rRNA from 1 species